CAGCAGCCACGGUAAUACGUAGGUGGCAAGCGUUGUCCGGAAUUAUUGGGCGUAAAGGGCUCGCAGGCGGUUUCUUAAGUCUGUUGUGAAAGCCCCCGGCUCAACCGGGGAGGGUCGUUGGAAACUGGGAAACUUGAGUGCAGAAGAGGAGAGUGGAAUUCCACGUGUAGCGGUGAAAUGCGUAGAGAUGUGGAGGAACACCAGUGGCGAAGGCGACUCUCUGGUCUGUAACUGACGCUGAGGAGCGAAAGCGUGGGGAGCGAACAGGAUUAGAUACCCGAGUAGUCCCUGUCUCUUAUAC
rnacentral:rRNA from 1 species